GUGUGCACUCACCAGAGACAGAGAGGGAAACUGAGAAAUCACCCCCAGGGAUGAUGGCUAUGCUGAAUUCUCCUCUCCCGACAGAGUGCACAUGCAGAUAGGCCCACAGACACAGCCUCUACAGCAGGGGGCAGGAUUAUCUUCUGGAAGCCAAGAGCCCAGGAAACCCCUUCGGAUGCUUAACCGAGAGAAAGAUUUAAAAACAAACAAACAAAAAAAACUAAGG